rnacentral:rRNA from 1 species
UGGGGAAUCUUGCGCAAUGGGCGAAAGCCUGACGCAGCGACGCCGCGUGAGGGAAGAAGGCCUUCGGGUUGUAAACCUCUUUCAGGAGGGACGAAGCUACUCGGGUUAAUACCCCAGAGGGUGACGGUACCUCCAGAAGAAGCCCCGGCUAACUACGUGCCAGCAGCCGCGGUAAUACGUAGGGGGCAAGCGUUGUCCGGAAUUAUUGGGCGUAAAGAGCGUGUAGGCGGCCAGAUAAGUCCGCUGUGAAAUCUCGAGGCUCAACUUCGAGCUGUCGGUGGAAACUAUCUGGCUAGAGUCCGGAAGAGGAGAAUGGAAUUCCUGGUGUAGCGGUGAAAUGCGCAGAUAUCAGGAAGAACACCCGUGGCGAAGGCGGUUCUCUGGGACGGUACUGACGCUGAGACGCGAAAGCGUGGGGAGCGAACA